CAAAAACAAAUCGAAUAGCAGGUGAAUUGGAAGUGAAAAUAAAAUUGAGAAUAAAUUGGUGUAUUUUUCUGGAAAUUAUCAGUAAUGAGGGCGGCAGUAGUAGAAAUAUUGUCAAUAAAUUCAGGAAUAAUAGCACGGUUACACCGAGCCGAAUAAAAAGUGGAAAUCAAUUCACUAGUAACAAUAAACUAGAGAAAUAGUAAACUACUAAAAGUUUACUGGCUAGUGUUUGAGUACGAAUUGAUCGAAUCGUUGUAGGAGGAAAAAAGGAGAAACUAUCUUUGUGCAUGACGCGAUUAUCGCUAUCUCACUCUACCUACCGUCACCGCCUAUCACACUAUCCCUCUGCUGUAAAAGUUCAUCAUCGACAUCACGAUAUGUCAGAUGGUGGUAAAUUGGUAAUUCGCGAUGACGUCGACGUCUGGUGGCGACUUCAAUUUAGAGCCAUAAUUUGGGUCCCAAUAUCGUUAGUAUAAUCUCUACCAGAUUAGGAGACACGGAGCCGGUUUUCAAAUUUUAAAAUUUGAAUGAAAAUUUUCACAUUAUGUUAUUUAAUUAUUAGAAACACGUAUUUCUGACUUUCAUUCCUCCAUAUGGUCAUACAAUUCCAACAUUGUUGCUGAUUUUUUUCUCUAUAAUAUAAAAUUGUCUUCAUAAACAAUUUUCGUAUGAGACUUUUUCCCCACCUGCAAACAAAAAUGUUUUUAAUUUAAACAGAACACUAAUUUGAUAUGGAAAAGCUAAUUUUCAUUCAUAAUUUUAAUUUUGAAAACGUUCACUCCGACUGAAAAUCAGCUGUUCUUUGACGCUCCCCUAAACUAGUAAAUGAAGCUCACUGCCGUCAACGCGGAUCGCUGUUUUGAACGUUUUGAAGAAAACAAAUACUUCUGACGUGUGAGAUGUUGGCACCAAGAACAUGGUGGGUGCCAUACGGCUGAUUUUUUCCAUGUGGUUCAACUUUUUCACUGGAAUCUUUGUUAUCUAUUAUUAGCAAGCUUUUUCCAUUGUUAAUAGAGGUAGUAUCAGCGCGUUCCAACAGUUUUUACCCAUCUGCGAAUGCAGGAUGGGCGCAGUUGUUCCGUGUGAGCCCAUUCUAUGUGGAAAGCAUUAAGGUGCUAUAUUGUGCCAGGCACUUGGUGAUUGGUAGGCUGACCAAAUAGUUCAUGAUUGAAAACGGGACACAUAAGCCAAAAAAACUAAUGGACCCGGCGUACUUCGUCCCGCCCAAACUUAGUGUUUUUCUAUUAAUACAUUUGAACAUUCACAAUUC